rnacentral:rRNA from 1 species
CCUACGGGAGGCAGCAGUGGGGGAUAUUGCACAAUGGGGGGAACCCUGAUGCAGCGACGCCGCGUGGGGGAAUGAAGGUCUUCGGAUUGUAAAACCCUGUCAUGUGGGAGCAAAUGAAAAAGAUAGUACCACAAGAGGAAGAGACGGCUAACUCAGUGCCAGCAGCCGCGGUAAUACAGAGGUCUCAAGCGUUGUUCGGAAUCACUGGGCGUAAAGCGUGCGUAGGCGGUUUCGUAAGUCGUGUGUGAAAGGCGCAGGCUCAACCCGCGGACGGCACAAUAUACUGCGAGACUAGAGUAAUGGAGGGGGAACCGGAAUGCUCGGUGUAGCAGUGAAAUGCGUAGAUAUCGAGAGGAACACUCGUGGCGAAGGCGGGUUCCUGGACAUUAACUGACGCUGAGGCACGAAGGCCAGGGGAGCGAAAGGGAUUAGAUACCCGUGUAGUC